UCCAUUGCAGAGUGAUCAUCACCAUGCUGGUAGCCACUGCUGUCUGCUGUUACCUCUUCUGGCUCAUCGCCAUCCUGGCCCAGCUGAACCCUCUGUUUGGGCCACAGCUGAAGAAUGAGACCAUCUGGUAUGUGCGCUUCCUGUGGGAGUGACCGCUGCUGCUUCAGCCCAGGUCCCCCAGCUCUCCGGAUAACCUUGGCUCAGCUGCCCCUGAAGACCCCUUUGUUCCACCCCCACAGCUGUGUCGUGAUCCCUCUGUGUUGAAGUAAUGGAAAAUCAUUCACACCCAAAACACCAUGGUAAUUUGGGUCCCGAUUGAAACUUGUAUGUUUAGCAUUCUUUAUGGUUGUAAAGUCACGUAAAGUGGCCUGCUCAGAAAGUGUCCCUCCUUGGAAUACCUUGUUCCUCUCUCCUCCUGUACCUGCCCCCCACACUGCGGACAAGCACCCCUUCCUCCCUAGAGGCUCAGAAACGAGGCAGCUCCUGCCCCCAGUUUGGACUCCACUCAUUCGGCUGCAGUGAGGGCAGAUUUCAGAGCCCCUUACAGCAGCCCCUAGGUCACCUGAGCUGCGAAGGAUGAAGAUAGACAGGUGUAGGCAGGGUUUGGGCAGCACAGAGGGCUUCUGAGGCCGGCUGGGAUGGUGAGGGAUGGAAGGGCAUUGGCCCUGACUGGCUGAGCAGGCAGCAGACCAAUGAGAUCCUGGGACCCGCAGCCCAUGCCCUCACUCCCAGGAUUGCUGAGGCUGAGAUCCCAGACAUUUGCCCGGUCUCAGAGCUAACCAGGGCCUCCUCUCUGCCGCAUGGCCUCCCUGGAGGAAGAAGCCAAUUUCAUGUAUUUAUUGACUAUUUAUUUGAUUGGCCUUCCUCCCACGUAGUGGGCAUUGUUUUUGGACCUGCGGGAGGGUGUGUGGUGUCUCCCUGGAUUUCUUGGUCUGGGCUUGGCCUGUUGCUCAGAGCUCAGGCUGGGCCUCCCCUUGAUAUCCGACAGGCCCCUUUCAAAGUCCCUUCCUGUCCUGACCCCUGUGGCUCUCCUGGGGUGGGGGGAUUGUGUGUGGGUUGUACAGAAAACCUCAUCUGUAUCUAGUGACUCACAAGUGGUGGGAAAUCACUUUUCAGUGGCAGAGUCCUGGCUGAGGCCAAGUUUGCUGGCCACCCUUUCCCUGCCCAGCUGAUUUCCAUGUCCUCAGAGGGUGGGGGUGAGGUUGGGGACAGGAAAGAGGGCUCGAAGUGGCUUGGAGCUGCAGCUCUGGGAUGUGGACACAGAACUACAUUUUCCUGAGACCUGAAGGAAAGUGCAGCUGGUCUGGAUUCUGCCAGGAUCAGGCCUGGCAGGAGGAGGAGAAAGUGGGAGCCUUGCUCAAGUGGAACUUUGACCACCACUCAUCUGUGCCCCUGAUUGCAGAGUGAACAAUUCUUGGACUGUGCAAUAAAGCAGGUUCCCAACCUUU